rnacentral:rRNA from 1 species
AUCUAUGGCCAUGCCACCUGAACAAGCCCGAUCCCGUCUGAUCUUGGAAGCUAAGCAGGGUCGGGUCUGGUUGGUACUUGGAUGGGAGACCACCUAGGAAGACCAGGUGCUGUAGGCG